rnacentral:misc_RNA from 1 species
UUAACUAUUAUAUAGUACUCAGACGACAUUAACAUUAGAGUUUGGGUUCUCUGGCGGGCGCUUACCAGCCGGAGCCGGUAGCCAGACCGAAGCCUGUCGGCCCGCCAAAGCAACAAAGGUAUAAAUACACAGGGUGGGAGAUCUACCCCGAAGGGCAUGAACUCUGUAAUGAUCCCUCCGCAGGUUCACCUACGGAGA